rnacentral:rRNA from 1 species
AGAGUUUGAUCCUGGCUCAGAACGAACGCUGGCGGCGUGCUUAACACAUGCAAGUCGUACGAGAAAUCUGGAGCAAUCUGGAGAGUACAGUGGCGCACGGGUGAGUAACGCGUGGGUAACCUGCCCUGGGGUUGGGGAUAACUCCUCGAAAGGGGUGCUAAUACCGGAUAAUAUUUCGAUCUCCAUGGAGAUUGAAAUCAAAGGUGGCCUCUGCAUGCAAGCUACUGCCCGAGGAUGGGCCCGCGUACCAUUAGCUAGUUGGUAGGGUAACGGCCUACCAAGGCUGCGAUGGUUAGCUGGUCUGAGAGGAUGGCCAGCCACACUGGAACUGAGACACGGUCCAGACUCCUACGGGAGGCAGCAGUGGGGAAUCUUGCGCAAUGGGGGAAACCCUGACGCAGCAACGCCGCGUGGGUGAUGAAGGCCUUCGGGUCGUAAAGCCCUGUCAGGUGGGAAGAAACCCAUCGGUGCGAACAGCACCGGUGAUUGACGGUACCACCGGAGGAAGCACCGGCUAACUCCGUGCCAGCAGCCGCGGUAAUACGGAGGGUGCUAGCGUUGUUCGGAAUUACUGGGCGUAAAGCGCGUGUAGGCGGUCGGGUAAGUCAGAUGUGAAAUCCCCCGGCUUAACUGGGGAACUGCAUUUGAAACUGCCUGGCUCGAGUUCGGGAGAGGAGAGUGGAAUUCCUGGUGUAGAGGUGAAAUUCGUAGAUAUCAGGAGGAACACCGGUGGCGAAGGCGGCUCUCUGGCCCGACACUGACGCUGAGACGCGAAAGCGUGGGGAGCAAACAGGAUUAGAUACCCUGGUAGUCCACGCCGUAAACGAUGGGCACUAGGUGUGGGAGGUAUUGACCCCUUCCGUGCCGAAGCUAACGCAUUAAGUGCCCCGCCUGGGGAGUACGACCGCAAGGUUAAAACUCAAA